CACGCUGUAAACGUUGAGAACCAGAUAUGGUGGGGCUGGCCCCCUCCGUGUCCAAGUUAACGCGAUAAGUUCUCCGCCUGGGGACUACGGCCGCAAGGCUAAAACUCAAAGGAAUUGACGGGGGCCCGCACAAGCGGUGGAGCAUGUUGCUUAAUUCGAGGCAACGCGAAGAACCUUACCCAGGUUUGACAUGCAUAUGACCGGUGGUGAAAGCCGCCUUCCCUUCGGGGCGUAUGCACAGAUGC
rnacentral:rRNA from 1 species